UCUCCAGAUCUGUGAGGUUGCCUCGGAUCGCCUGCUCCUCCUCGAAAGCCUUGAACAGCGAGUUGAAGUUGCCGGCUCCAAAACCCUGGAGUGGGAGACAGCAGUGCUAAACAUGCCACCUAUUCUCACGACUUGAUGGAGGGUUAAAGGAAGAGGAACCAGUGCAGUCUUGUCGCUUGGAACCUUCAGCUUUUCCGAGUAUGGACUGCACAGUGUCUUCAUGCUGAUUUCCUUUUCAGUGCAUCUAAUUGCCCUUCCUGGUUCUGCAGCAAAUUGUAUUUACACGAUUUUCAUCAUAAUUUACAAUUUUGCAAAUCAAGACUUCAGGGAGGGGUCA